rnacentral:rRNA from 1 species
CCUACGGGCGGCAGCAGUGAGGAAUAUUGGUCAAUGGGCGCGAGCCUGAACCAGCCAAGUAGCGUGAAGGAUGACUGCCCUACGGGUUGUAAACUUCUUUUAUAAAGGAAUAAAGUGAGGCACGUGUGCCUUUUUGUAUGUACUUUAUGAAUAAGGAUCGCCUAACUCCGUGCCAGCAGCCGCGGUAAUACGGAGGAUCCGAGCAUUAUCCUGAUUUAUUGGGUUUAAAGGGAGCGUAGAUGGGUUGUUAAGUCAGUUGUGAAAGUUUGCGGCUCAACCGUAAAAUUGAAAUUGAUACUGGCAGACUUGAGUACAGUUGAGGUAGGCGGAAUUCGUGGUGUAGCGGUGAAAUGCGUAGAUAUGACGAAGAACUCCGAUUGCGAAGGCAGCUUACUAAACUGCCACUGACAUUGAUGCUCGAAAGUGUGGGUAUCAAACAGGAUUAGAUACCCUAGUAGUC